rnacentral:ncRNA from 1 species
AAGGCCUGAUGUGUGUGAGAUUACCCGCUGAAUUUAAGCAUAUAAGUAAGCGGAGGAAAAGAAACUAACUAGGAUUCCCUUAGUAAUGGCGAAUGAACAGGGAUCAGCUCAGUGCCAAAUCGGAAUCACUUGUGGGUCUGAAAUGUGGCUUGAAGGCAGUACCAGUGGCAUC